rnacentral:rRNA from 1 species
UGGGGAAUUUUGGACAAUGGGCGCAAGCCUGAUCCAGCAAUGCCGCGUGCAGGAUGAAGGCCUUCGGGUUGUAAACUGCUUUUGUACGGAACGAAACGGUCUGGGUUAAUACCUCGGGCUAAUGACGGUACCGUAAGAAUAAGCACCGGCUAACUACGUGCCAGCAGCCGCGGUAAUACGUAGGGUGCAAGCGUUAAUCGGAAUUACUGGGCGUAAAGCGUGCGCAGGCGGUUUUGUAAGACAGGUGUGAAAUCCCCGGGCUUAACCUGGGAACUGCACUUGUGACUGCAAGGCUAGAGUACGGCAGAGGGGGAUGGAAUUCCGCGUGUAGCAGUGAAAUGCGUAGAUAUGCGGAGGAACACCGAUGGCGAAGGCAAUCCCCUGGGCCUGUACUGACGCUCAUGCACGAAAGCGUGGGGAGCAAACAGGAUUAGAUACCCUGGUAGUCCACGCCCUAAACGAUGUCAACUGGUUGUUGGGUUUUUAACUCAGUGCCGCAGCUAACGCAUUAAGUAUUCCACCUGGGAAGUACGAUCGCAAGGUUG